UACGUAGGGAGCGAGCGUUGUCCGGAUUCAUUGGGCGUAAAGAGCUCGUAGGCGGCUUGGUAAGUCGGAUGUGAAACCUCCAGGCUCAACCUGGAGUCGCCAUCCGAUACUGCCAUGGCUAGAGUCCGGUAGGGGCCCACGGAAUUCCUGGUGUAGCGGUGAAAUGCGCAGAUAUCGGGAGGAACGCCGGUGGCGAAGGCGGUUCUCUGGGCCUGUACUGACGCUGAGGAGCGAAAGCGUGGGGAGCGAACAGG
rnacentral:rRNA from 1 species